AUGAUGAUGCCUUCCAUCAACACUCUAAGCUGGAACGUGAGGGGCUUAAAUUGCCCUGAUAGAAGAGCAACAGUCAGUGCCACGAUCGCUGCCUCCUCGUGCCAAAUCGUGUGUUUGCAAGAGACGAAGCUCGAUACUGUAGAUAUAUUUAUUGCUUCCUUCCUGGGUGGUAACAGGCUCAAAAACUUUGCGCGACGACCGGCGACGGGAACUAGAGGAGGGAUUCUCUUGCUGUGGGAUGACAGUCUUCUUACGAUCACUGACAUCAUAACUUCAGCCUUUUGCCUCUCUGGCAACGUUCGAAUCCAUGCAAACGACAUCUGUUUCAAGUUAACAUCCGUCUACGGCCCCUCUGACUCUGCUAGCAAGGAUUCUUUCUUUGCCGAGCUGGUCUCCCACAAGCCAACGGCGGGUGUUGCUUGGCUGGCCUUUGGAGACUUCAACCAAAUCUACCGUGCACGUGACAAAAAUAAGAGAAAUGUGAAUCGAAGUAGGAUCAACCGGUUCCGUGCAACUCUGCAAUCGUGUGAGCUGAAGGAAAUCCACCUUCAAAAUAGGCGCUUUACUUGGAGCAACGAGCGGGACAACCCAACUUUAUGCAAGCUGGACUCCUUCUUUUGCAACGCGGACUGGGACAUGACUUUCAACACGCAUGUGUUGCAUGCUUUGGCGUCUUCCUUGUCCGACCAUUGUCCCCUUUUGCUUGUCGAUGACAAGGGGCCGAGAAGACCACGAUCUUUCAAAUUCGAGAACUUCUGGGUUUCUUUGCCCGGUUUCAUGGAGGUGGUUCAAAAGGCAAGGGAUGAGCGUGUGAGUCACACGGAGCCGUUUCUCAUUCUGCACAAUAAGCUCAAAACAACCGCGCUGCGACUGUCCGAAUGGAGCAAGAAGUUAUUCUCCAGUGCCAAGGUUCAACUUCAUGCUGCACUCCUCAUCAUCCUUCGGUUGGAUAUUGCUCAAGAGGAAAGAUCUCUCUCCCCGGAGGAGCGCAACCUUCGCUCCAGGCUCAAGCGGAGGGUUAUUAGUCUGGCGGUGCUUGAGCGGACGAGGAAGCGCCAAUGCGCCAGGAUCGCCAACUUGAGAGAGGGCGACGCCAACACCAAAUUCUUCCACCGCCGCAUUAACGCCCGUAGGCGCAAGAACCACAUUCAUCGGAUCAAGCAUGCUAAUGGUUGGGUGACCGAGCACACAGAGAAAGAGAAGCUAGUUCAUGACCACUUCUCUGAGGUCAUGGGGAGGGGAAGCAUGAGCAGCAGAGAUUUCAAUUGGGAGGAGCUUCGUGUCGAGCCUCAUGAUUUGCAAGGUCUCGACAGCACCAUCUCUGAGGAGGAGGUUUGGGCUGCCAUUAAAGAAAUGUCUGGGGAUAAGGCACCCGGUCCAGAUGGCUUCACAGGGAUUUUUUUUCAAGAAGUGUUGGGGAAUUAUCAAACACACUGUCAUGAGGGCUGUUCAGCGCUUCGACUCCCUACAUACCUCCAACCUGCAGUGGGUCAACUCCGUCAAUGUGAUCCUCCUGCCAAAAAAGGAUGGGGCAGAAGGCAUCUCUGA
rnacentral:rRNA from 1 species